rnacentral:rRNA from 1 species
CGAAGGACCCAAGCGUUAUCCGGAUUUAUUGGGUUUAAAGGGUGCGUAGGCGGAUUAUUAAGUCAGUGGUGAAAUCUUCCCGCUUAACGGGAAAACUGCCAUUGAUACUGAUGAUCUUGAGUAUGAUUGAGGUAGGCGGAAUGUGUCAUGUAGCGGUGAAAUGCUUAGAUAUGACACAGAACACCGAUUGCGAAGGCAGCUUACUAAGUCAAAACUGACGCUGAUGCACGAAAGCGUGGGGAGCAAACAGGAUUAGAUACCCUGGUAGUCCACGCCCUAAACGAUGAUCACUCGAUGUGUGCGAUAUACAGUACGCGUCUGAGCGAAAGCAUUAAGUGAUCCACCUGGGGAGUACGACCGCAAGGUUG